CCUACGGGGGGCAGCAGUAGGGAAUAUUGCUCAAUGGGGGAAACCCUGAAGCAGCAACGCCGCGUGGAGGAUGAAGGUUUUCGGAUUGUAAACUCCUUUUGUUAGAGAAGAUAAUGACGGUAUCUAACGAAUAAGCACCGGCUAACUCCGUGCCAGCAGCCGCGGUAAUACGGAGGGUGCAAGCGUUACUCGGAAUCACUGGGCGUAAAGGGCGCGUAGGCGGGAUAGCAAGUCAGAUGUGAAAUCCUAUGGCUUAACCAUAGAACUGCAUUUGAAACUGUUAUUCUAGAGUAUGGGAGAGGUAGGUGGAAUUCUUGGUGUAGGGGUGAAAUCCGUAGAGAUCAAGAGGAAUACUCAUUGCGAAGGCGACCUGCUAGAACAUAACUGACGCUGAUGCGCGAAAGCGUGGGGAGCAAACAGGAUUAGAUACCCCAGUAGUC
rnacentral:rRNA from 1 species